rnacentral:rRNA from 1 species
AAAGGAGUUGUAGGCUUUGCCUGCUAUCUCUUACCCAUGUCUUUUGAGUACCUUCGUUUCCUCGGCGGGUUCGCCCGCCGAUUGGACAAAACUUAAACCCUUUGUAGUUGCAAUCAGCGUCUGAAACAACAUAAUAGUUACAACUUUCAACAACGGAUCUCUUGGUUCUGGCAUCGAUGAAGAACGCAGCGAAAUGCGAUAAGUAGUGUGAAUUGCAGAAUUCAGUGAAUCAUCGAAUCUUUGAACGCACAUUGCGCCCCUUGGUAUUCCAUGGGGCAUGCCUGUUCGAGCGUCAUUUGUACCUUCAAGCUCUGCUUGGUGUUGGGUGUUUGUCUCGCCUUUGCGUGUAGACUCGCCUCAAAACGAUUGGCAGCCGGCGUAAUGAUUUCGGAGCGCAGUACAUCUCGCGCCUUGCACUCAUAGCGACGACGUCCAAAAAGUACAUUUUUACACUCUUGACCUCGGAUCAGGUAGGGAUACCCGCUGAACUUAAGCAUAUCAAUAAGCGGAGGAA